AGGGUAAACGCUGGCGGCGUGCCUAAAACAUGCAAGUCGAACGGUGUCCUUCGGGGCACAGUGGCAGACGGCUGAGUAACGCGUGGGUGACGUACCUAUCGGUGGGGAAUAACUGCCCGAAAGGGUGGCUAAUACCGCAUACGUCCACUUCUUCGUAGGAGUGGGGAAAACCGCAAGGUGCCGAUGGAGCGGCCCGCGUUCGAUUAGCUGGUUGGUGGGGUAACGGCCUACCAAGGCGACGAUCGAUAGCUGGUCUCAGAGGAUGAUCAGCCAGACUGGGACUGAGACACGGCCCAGACUCCUACGGGAGGCAGCAGUUAGGAAUUUUGGGCAAUGGGCGCAAGCCUGACCCAGCAACGCCGCGUGGGUGACGAAGGUCUUCGGAUUGUAAAGCCCUUUUCUGAGGGAAGAUGAUGACGGUACCUCAGGAAGAAGCACCGGCUAACUACGUGCCAGCAGCCGC
rnacentral:rRNA from 1 species